GUCGCGGCGGCCGGCCGGGCCGCGCGACCUAAUACACGUUCCUCGUGCUCUUGUGAUCAUAAAUAUUAAAAUUAAAAUACAAAAUUCAAAAAAAUCCUAAAUUAAACUCUAACCGCGACUAAUCGAAAAAAUAUUUUUAGGCUAAAUCCCGACCCUCACUUUUUUGACCUAAACUGUUGGCAGUGGAAAAGUUUUUUGCAAAAUUUUUAAUAUUUAUGUCGGUUACAUUUGUAAGAGAUUAAACGUUUGGCCGUUAUUGAGAAUAUUUUUAUUUAAAAUUUAUUUUUUUUAACGAUCGAGAUCUCGAGUGAGCGAUUGAUAACUAAUAAUAAAUUAAUUGUAAGCGUUAAAUUAAUGUUAAGGCUAGUCGUAACUAAGAAUCAAUUGACUGCCACAAAUAUACUCUGCUAUUCGAAAUUUACUGAUGGACUUCUGUGGUUUACAACGGACUUGAACUUUUUUGUGCGACAAAGAAAAUUAUUCCUCGGACCAAGACUUCCCUAACCGCCAUCGAAGGGAGCUACCAAUUGGACGUCUUCAACAUCUAGACUUUAGAUCAAUCGGGGCCACAGGCAUAGUUUUCCACCGGAUAAGUGUCUAAAAUCAUAUUAAUGGUAAGCUUUAGAUUUAUGUAGAACAUUCUAGAUGUACAUUAUACGGUUACUAGCAACUUUCCAUUAAUUUCUAAUUGAUGUAGUUGUAAGAGCAAAAUUGAUACACCACUGGUAGAGUAUCUCAAACAUCAGUGUGCUUACCAUGAGAUUACGUUAGGUGUGCUCGCUAGCGAGUACGUCAAGAAAAACCUUUAAAGAUUUUAGUUCUCGAAAGUAGCCGCUAGGGGCGCUGUACAAUCUGUCAUACAUUUAAUGUCAUUUUUUUACUCAGUCACUAGCGAGUACACGUAACGUAAACUCAUGGUAAGCACACAGAAGUUAUAACGACAUAGCGACAUAGAUAGAAAAACGUAUAAAAAAGUCACAUAGCACUUUCCUUCUGAAAACGAUAAAUAAUUUAAAAACUUUUUGGUCUAUCUAUCCAUAUCCAUAAAAAUAUCUAGAGAAGAAACCCGUUAACAAAACAAAAAAGUUCCAACGGUUCGAAAUUCGAAUACCAAAUUCCGUAGCACCUUCACAGCGUGAUUUUGUUUUUUGCGAGAAAUAUUCGGGCAAUGGAAUCUGAAAACAGGAUAGAUUAUUAGUUUUUCAGACGUUCAACCAUAUUUGCUUUCGCACGUAGAUACGUCGAAAAAGACAUAUUGAAUGAUCAAAACUGCGUUCGCUGCCCGUGUUGCAUCACAGGAAGCGGGAGCAGGGUUGCCAGUACUUAUCUUAAUGUCAGAAAAUGCAUUGGGAGCAGACCUAACAUCCUUAACACAUUCUUUAAGCUCAAAAGGCGAAAAUCAUGCCUGAAAACCGAUAUGAAUGGCAUGCUAUGUAAGUGAAAAUAAUUUAUUUAAUAGAGUUGGGCUUAGUUUUCGAAAAAAGUCCUUUUUGUUGUCAUCCCUAGCUCAGACCGGUUUUCGGCGGCUUCGUCCGGAUAAAACCGGUCGAAACUCGUGCAUACCCGUAUUUUGUCUGCGGGCUGACAGGGGUGGACAGCGCAUGAAUUUUCGAAUAAUCAGACGUUCGCCAUGCGCUAUACUUUCGUGCAUAUGCAUCGAUGGAAACCUACAGCGGCCUAUGAAAGGCGAACCUUAAAUUGGUAUAGGGCUUUGGGAGGAC